rnacentral:rRNA from 1 species
UACGAAGGGGGCUAGCGUUGCUCGGAAUCACUGGGCGUAAAGGGUGCGUAGGCGGGUUUUUAAGUCAGAGGUGAAAUCCUGGAGCUCAACUCCAGAACUGCCUUUGAUACUGAAAGUCUUGAGUAUGGGAGAGGUGAGUGGAACUGCGAGUGUAGAGGUGAAAUUCGUAGAUAUUCGCAAGAACACCAGUGGCGAAGGCGGCUCACUGGCCCAUUACUGACGCUGAGGCACGGAAAGCGAUGGGGAGCCAA